rnacentral:rRNA from 1 species
UACAGAGGUCUCAAGCGUUGUUCGGAUUCAUUGGGCGUAAAGGGUGCGUAGGCGGUGCCGUAAGUCAGAUGUGAAAUCCCGGGGCUCAACCCCGGAACUGCAUUUGAUACUGCGGUGCUCGAGGACUGGAGAGGAGAUUGGAAUUCACGGUGUAGCAGUGAAAUGCGUAGAUAUCGUGAGGAAGACCAGUGGCGAAGGCGAAUCUCUGGACAGUUCCUGACGCUGAGGCACGAAGGCCAGGGGAGCAAACGGG